rnacentral:rRNA from 1 species
UACGAAGGGGGCUAGCGUUGUUCGGAAUCACUGGGCGUAAAGCGCACGUAGGCGGACUUUUAAGUCAGGGGUGAAAUCCCAAGGCUCAACCUUGGAACUGCCUUUGAUACUGGAAGUCUUGAGUUCGGGAGAGGUGAGUGGAACUGCGAGUGUAGAGGUGAAAUUCGUAGAUAUUCGGAAGAACACCAGUGGCGAAGGCGGCUCACUGGCUCGGUACUGACGCUGAGGUGCGAAAGCGUGGGGAGCAAACAGG